rnacentral:rRNA from 1 species
GAUGAACGCUGGCGGCGUGCCUAAUACAAGCAAGUCGAGCGAACAGACGAGGAGCUUGCUCCUCUGACGUUAGCGGCGGACGGGUGAGUAACACGUGGAUAACCUACCUAUAAGACUGGGAUAACUUCGGGAAACCGGAGCUAAUACCGGAUAAUAUAUUGAACCGCAUGGUUCAAUAGUGAAAGACGGUUUUGCUGUCACUUAUAGAUGGAUCCGCGCCGCAUUAGCUAGUUGGUAAGGUAACGGCUUACCAAGGCAACGAUGCGUAGCCGACCUGAGAGGGUGAUCGGCCACACUGGAACUGAGACACGGUCCAGACUCCUACGGGAGGCAGCAGUAGGGAAUCUUCCGCAAUGGGCGAAAGCCUGACGGAGCAACGCCGCGUGAGUGAUGAAGGUCUUUGGAUCGUAAAACUCUGUUAUUAGGGAAGAACAAAUGUGUAAGUAACUAUGCACGUCUUGACGGUACCUAAUCAGAAAGCCACGGCUAACUACGUG